CAUAGGCGGCUGCAGAAACACUGAAGAUAGACGACGGUUCCAUUAACGGCAACUCUCCAGAUUCCACAGGAGGAAAGUUUUGCCGGCCCGGAAAAAAACAACAACAAAAAAACGGUGGAUAUCAUUUCCUUUUAGGAAGCAUCUGCGCCACACCAGACCAAAGAACUACAGACUCUUCACAACAUGCUCAAACUCUUGGUACAGGACCUCACCACACGGGUCAAGAAGGUUUCCUUCUCAUUUCUACUCUGAAGCUCACCUUUUCCUGCUCAAACUGCUGGCAAAUGUUUGUGCUGCUCUAAAGUCUGGUCUCCAGAACUUCCUAAAAACUCUCAAAGUCUCUUCUGCUGCAGGUUGCUUUGUAGAACUGUUCCAGAAAACCUCACUAAACCACAUGGAGGGGCCUCAAGAUAGUCGUCCAAAUGAAACCGUACAAAAACCAAACUAGCACAACCCAAACGCUAAAGUCUCCUGCAGCCUACCAGAGAACCUCUUUAAACAGAAUCAGGACAGGAACUCUUACCUUCUGCACAACCAGCAUUGGUUCACAAACAAGAAUACAGAAUGUGUCUGACCAAAAACCUCUGAAGACUCACUACAGCCAAGAUAAAGACACAACUCAGCUGCACCACAUCCACUAAUCACUGCACACAUUAGCAGCAUGUGCUAAUUGUGGCUAAAGAACCACAUUUACCAAGACAACUAUCCAGUACAAAGCACUAAAACACACCAAGAAACACAUUAAAGAUGAUUUUAUUGCUGGAAGCUGCAAGCUAACGCCUAAAGAACAAACUAAAGCAACAGAGCCCAGUUCAGUGGUGAAGAGAAGCAGAGGAAAUGUUUGACUGCAGACAUAAAGCAGUAAGACAGUGAGCUGCUCAGGUGUUCCUGAUAACACCAAGCAGCCACCUGGACAGCCAAUAGGAACACAGCAUACCGAAGUCCAGAGGGCUGGCUUAGUGAAGUAAAUUUAGUUAAAGCUGAAGCAGAAAGUUCACAAAAAAAGUUGAAAUCACCUUCUGAUACCUGAAAUCUCUGAGUUUUCACACAAAGAAUGCCUGAACAUGUCAUACUGGUUCCAUAGUAGAACCACCAUUGUAAAAACAUCAUAGUAUGGUGUGUUUCUCAAAAAAACAUUAUGACCGGUCUAGGGUUGGGGUUGCACAGUGGAUUGUGGUUAGCACUUUUGCCUUGCAGCAAGAAGAUCCCUGGUUCAAAUCCUGGUCUGGGCCUGGGAUCUUUCUGCAUGGAGUUUGCAUGUUCUCCCUGUGCAUGUGUGGGUUUUCUCCGGGUACUCCGGCUUCCUCCCACAGUCCAAAAAUAUGCUGAGGUUAAUUGAUUACUCUAAAUUGCCCGUUGCUGUGAGAGUGAUUGUUUGUCUGUAUAUGUAGCCCUGUUACAGACUGGCGACCUGUCCAGAAAACAGAGUUUCACAAACACGGGUUCUCAUAGGAAUGAAUACACUUUUGGUUAAGUCUUAUACGUGCACGGAUGUCUGUGGAAACCUGUCAGAAUACUCACACUGGAGAAUGCUGGUUCUCCUGGAUCAAAGUUCUAUUGUCCUUGUCUGAUGCUGAUCUUCUUGAACCUAAUCAUGCAGAUUUUGUAGUCCUUUCAAAGUGGAAGCCUUUAUGUCAACAUCACAGAUGGGAAAAAUCUUAAUUUCAAAACAAAAACUUGGCUUUCAUAAUGUAAAUGCCAAUGUAGUUUAGCUAGAUAGAAUGUAAUUUUGUGCAAAACAAGUGAGAUAAGCAGUCGACACCAGGGUGGAGCAUUUUCACCUUGAAGCUGCAGUGUACUGACGACAAUCUCAAAAAUAUGGAUUCAGACUUCCAGGGUAUUACUUACCAAACCUAAAGAAACCAAUCAACUUGUCUUUCUGUGAUGCCAUUAUCCUUCUUCAGAUUCAGUUUCCCCUUGUAACACGUACAGCUGAAUUACAACUUGCCAGUGCAGUGUGGAGUAGUUUUACAGCAUUGGAGCAGAUUCAUGGGAGAGCUGGUGUGCUUGAGCUGCACCAAAUAGAGAAGGCUGCAUUAAGACUCUGUAGAUCUAUACAUUCUAGCAGAAGCAACGAUGUAGAGUUACAUCUAAUCCAUUUUAAGACAGGACGGGAUCAUUUUGAUGGAAGAAAACUUCUAAUUAUGUAACUUUGGAUUCUGUGUUCCAAGAUGUUUCCCCUUUAAUUCCAAAGUAAGUUGUUCACUGGAGACAUUCUGGGCAUGUUUGAGCUUGUAGAAUGCUGGAGUCCUUCCUUGGCUGAGCUACUUGAAAGCAGACAUGUACAUUAGUUGUAGAGCCAGCUGACCUCCCGUUAGCUCCCUGCAUGAAUUAAAUAACAUACUGGUGCAACUCUUUGAAACUCUGAGGCAAAUUUUAUUGGAUUAAAUCACUCAACGUCUCAUAACAUUAAAAGCAAUUUUAUGGCAUUUGUACAAAUGGAAAAAAAAUGUGUCCACCGUUUUACACCAGUUGCUUUUGUAAUGAUUGAGAUAAAGUCUUUAGGAGCCGUGUGACCUAAAACACCUCGAAGUUUAGUGCUGUUCGCUGGGACUUCAGUUAAUUUUCGUUUUUGUAAGCCAGUUGCAUGGACGUAGAUUUUAGAUGGGGGCACAGGUAAAUAAAUCUCCUUCAGUAUUAAACGCCAAAUAAAAACAUGAAAGAAUGAAAUCCUUUUCAGACUGCUGGCAGUCGGCUGCACAUAGGAAUUUCACUUUGGUGCAACAUCAGUGCAUUCCAGUCUGUGCUGUGAAUACUUUGUGCCUUUAAAAGACCCUGCACAACAUCUUUUUUUCCCAACAAGUACAAGAAUCUGAGCAAUAUUAAAGUUUUCCUACAUAUAUAUUAACCCUGUGAAAUAUUGGUCCUUUUCCACAUUCACAGGAAUCUGUGCAAUACCAACAUUGGUAAUCUAUAUUUUUUUGCUUUUGUUUAUUUUCCACUGAUAUCCCUAUGCUUUGCACUAUCCUCUUCUGCUGCUAUAAGACUGCGAAUUCCCCCACUGUCUUAUCUGAAGGACUUUUGCUGUUUACUCGUAAAUGCAACAUUGCUGCCAACAAAGACGAGUCUUCAUUCAUUCCCUUGGGGAAAUUCAAUGUAUCCAGCAGCUCACAUGUGUUUCAGACAGAUAGAUAAAGGAACAAUGUAGAAAAAAGCAUGUAACUGGCAUGCAAAUCAUGCUAGAUGUAGAAAUAGCAAUAAGGUACCUAAAAUGCUGGUAUUGACAGAAGUGUAGAACAAAAUUGCAAAUUGGUAGUAUUUGCAAUAAAAAUAGAAUAUUAUAAGAGUAGAGAUGCACAUACUGCAAAGAUGCUGUAUCACUUCUCCAAACAAAAGCCACAAAGGAAGACAGGCAAGUAAAUAACGUGUGUCAUCUCAUGAAGGAUGACGUUAAAUCAGAAAAUUUGAUCCACAGGAGAGUAAAUAUUUGAAAAUAAUGCAGAAUGCCGGAGUCUCUCUGCAUUAUGUUCCAUUUUAUUUCAAAAUCUCACUUCAAAUCUUAAA